rnacentral:rRNA from 1 species
CACAGCACUUUGCCAACUCGUAAGAGGAAGUAUAAGGUGUGACGCCUGCCCGGUGCUCGAAGGUUAAGAGGAUGCGUCAGUCGCAAGAUGAAGCGUUGAAUUGAAGCCCGAGUAAACGGCGGCCGUAACUAUAACGGUCCUAAGGUAGCGAAAUUCCUUGUCGGUUAAAUACCGACCUGCAUGAAUGGCGUAACGAGAUGGGAGCUGUCUCAACCAGAGAUUCAGUGAAAUUGUAGUGGAGGUGAAAAUUCCUCCUACCCGCGGCAAGACGGAAAGACCCCGUGGACCUUUACUACAACUUAGCACUGCUAAUGGGAAUAUCAUGUGCAGGAUAGGUGGGAGGCUUUGAAGUAAGGGCUUUGGCUC